rnacentral:rRNA from 1 species
CGGGACGGGUGAGUAACGCGUGGGUAACCUGCCUUAUACUGGGGGAUAACAGCCAGAAAUGACUGCUAAUACCGCAUAAGCGCACAGAACCGCAUGGUUCGGUGUGGAAAACUCCGGUGGUAUAAGAUGGACCCGCGUUGGAUUAGCUAGUUGGCAGGGCAGCGGCCUACCAAGGCGACGAUCCAUAGCCGGCCUGAGAGGGUGAACGGCCACAUUGGGACUGAGACACGGCCCAG